rnacentral:rRNA from 1 species
AUGGCAAAGCCCGGCAUUCUAGGCCGGAGCAGCAGCAUGCCAAGAUCAAAUGAAGGCAUGAGGCUUGUAUUCUCAGCAGUUAUCGGUAUUAUGCUAGGUUACUUGUUUGGGAUAUCCUUCCCCACAGUCAAUAUAACCAAGCUUCAUUUCCCUUCCAGUAUUGUUUCCUAUAUUGAAGAUAGAAACUCCGGAAUCACAACCCAAACAUUGUUGAACCAUGCAUGGACAUCUGCAAACAGUCACAAGAAGAACAAUUCUGAUUCCAAGUCUGAUGAAAUUCCUAAGAUUUAUGUUACCUCAAACCCUAAAGGUGCUGAAAGGCUCCCACCAGGUAUUGUCGUAUCUGAAACAGACCUCUAUCUGCGAAGAUUGUGGGGUGAACCUAGUGAGGAUCUUACUAUCCAGCCAAAGUACCUUGUUACAUUUACAGUUGGAAUUGCGCAAAAGGCAAAUAUUGACGCAGCAGUCAAAAAGUUCUCGGAGAACUUCACAAUUAUGCUGUUCCACUAUGAUGGUCGGACUACUGAAUGGGAUGAAUUUGAGUGGUCAAAAAGGGCCAUCCAUGUGAGUGUUAGCAAGCAAACUAAGUGGUGGUAUGCCAAGAGAUUUUUACAUCCCGAUGUCGUUGCCCGGUAUGACUACAUAUUUAUCUGGGAUGAGGAUCUAGGUGUUCAACAUUUCAAUGCAGAGGAGUACAUCAAGCUUGUUAGGAAGCAUGGGCUGGAGAUCUCUCAACCUGGUUUGGAACCUGAUAGAGGUCUGACAUGGCAAAUGACUAAGCGGCGUGGUGAUCGAGAAGUUCACAAAGUAACCGAGGAGAGGCCAGGCUGGUGUUCGGAUCCCCAUCUGCCACCGUGUGCAGCAUUCGUAGAAAUUAUGGCAACUGUGUUCUCUAGGGAUGCAUGGCGCUGUGUAUGGCAUAUGAUUCAGAACGACUUGAUCCAUGGAUGGGGCCUCGAUUUUGCUCUUAGGAAAUGUGUGGAGCCAGCUCAUGAGAAAAUUGGAGUUGUUGACGCUCAGUGGAUUGUUCAUCAGGGUGUUCCAUCACUUGGUAACCAGGGCAAGUCGGAGAAUGGAAGAGCACCAUGGGAAGGGGUAAGAGGGCGGUGUAGAAAAGAGUGGGGGAUAUUCCAGGCAAGGCUGGCCGAUGCCGAGAAGAAGUAUUACUUGGAUCAAGGGAUCACGCCGCCGAAUUCGACUUCAGUCUAG